GGCUUCGAAGGAGAAUAUCGCGCAAGAAGGAAGAGGGAGAGUCGUCGCGGGCUGGCCGUAGGGGGAGCCGCUGCUGCGAGCACGCGUCGUCUGCACCGUCGCACCCUGGCCGUCUCACUGUCGCCGUUCGCGGAGGAAGAGGCAAGCGCGCCAGAGGAGAGCGAGAGGGGGAGACCGUGACGGGAUACUCUGCCACCGUCGUGUAUCGUGAACAGAGGAGGAAGGAGAAGUCUUCUGUCAUCAACGCCACGUCUCUUCACUACCGCUGCCGCCGCCGGAAUCUCUGGUUGCCGCCAUGAUUAAUGGUGAGUCAGUUAAACCCUAGCCAUGAAAACCACCAUCUCUGAACCUUUAUUGCUCUGUAAAUACCCUGUAUCUGCCUCUGAUGUCCUUGGUUAUAUGAUGUUUGCUGGAGUUUGUCCCAAUUGGAGCCACUGGCGAAGGUGUUGCCGCUGCCGGAAGCCAACGCCGGGCUAUUGCUGGUUCUGAUUCUAUUAUCUUGGGCUGUUUUCUGCCCUUGACUACAUUAGAUUCAAAUUCUUGUUCUGCUGCAACCAUUAUCAUUGCCACGAAAUUAAAGCCGUUGCUGUUCCAGUUGAUGCGGUGUCCUUGAUUGCAUUAGGAUUGUUGUCACUGCUGUAAAUUAGAAACGAAACGGGGGCAGUUGUGUUCAAAUUCUACAAUUGCGACAUCGAGUGACACAGGUUUGAAGACGCAAUUUGAAGCUGCGAGCGAUUAGUAGGCUUUCUUUAUGGUCUUAAUUGCUUUCAUAGAGUCCCCUCGCUAUUGUCCUUUGAGAUUUUAUUUUACAUAGAGGGGUAGGUUUAGUAUAUUGUAUUUGAGUUUUAUUUGGUCUCUUUUGUAUAAGAAUUAUUAUCAAUAAUAUAUGUGUGAUUAUUAUUAAUUGUGAAUGUUUGAAUUAUGACUUUUAAUGAAUAAAAA